UACGUAGGGAGCGAGCGUUGUCCGGAUUUACUGGGUGUAAAGGGUGCGUAGGCGGGUAAGCAAGUCAGAAGUGAAAUCCAUGGGCUUAACCCAUGAACUGCUUUUGAAACUGUUUAUCUUGAGUGAAGUAGAGGUAGGCGGAAUUCCCGGUGUAGCGGUGAAAUGCGUAGGGAUCGGGAGGAACACCAGUGGCGAAGGCGGCCUUCUGGGCCAUCACUGACGCUGAGGCGCGAAAGCUAGGGGAGCAAACAGG
rnacentral:rRNA from 1 species